CGCGUAGGCGGUUAUGCUAGUCAGGUGUGAAAUCCCCAGGCUUAACUUGGGAACUGCGCUUGAAACUGCAUAGCUUGAGGCCGGGAGAGGAAAGUGGAAUUCCUGGUGUAGCGGUGAAAUGCGUAGAUAUCAGGAGGAACACCGGUGGCGAAGGCGGCUUUCUGGACCGGUUCUGACGCUGAAGCGCGAAAGCGUGGGAGCAAACGG
rnacentral:rRNA from 1 species